GACGUAGGGGGCCAGCGUUGUUCGGAAUUACUGGGGGUAAAGGGUUCGUAGGCGGUGUAGCAAGUCGGGUGUGAAAUCUCUGGGCUUAACCCAGAGGCUGCUUCCGAAACUGCUGUGCUUGAGUGUGGGAGAGGCGCGUGGAAUUGCAGGUGUAGCGGUGAAAUGCGUAGAUAUCUGGAGGAACACCCGUGGCGAACGCGGCGCGCUGGACCACUACUGACGCUGAGGAACGAAAGCUAGGGGAGCAAACAGG
rnacentral:rRNA from 1 species